UCCUGGAAAUGCCGGCCUCCCAGGGGCUCCUUGCUAUAUGUUCUCUGGAGUUGCUAAGUGUGUAAUGUUUUUUGUAAGUGCUCCUCUGGGGUAGGAAGUUGGACACAGAGAAGUAAAGCAGCCCAAUUCUCUUUCAAAUGGCUUUUCUGCAACCCUCACUGGCUCUAGAAUCCAAUCCCAGGGACACUUCCUCUUUUGAGACACUGCAAGUCCUUCAUAGAUUUUUUUGUUUUGUUUUGUUUUGUUGUUUUUUGGAAACGGAAUCUUGCUCUGUUGCCCAGGCUGGAGUGCAGUGGCACGAUCUCGGCUCACUGCAAUCUCUGCUUCCCAGAGAUGGGGUUUCACCGUGUGAGCCAGGAUGGUCUCGCUCUCCUGACCUCUUGAUCCACCUGCCUUGGCCUCCCCAUCAUAGCUUUUUAUGAGCAGAGACAAUCCAACUUGAAUACAUGAAGAAUAACAUCUUUAGCACCCCAGAGUUCUAGAGGCUUGAAAAUAGAGAUCAAGACAUUGGCAGAUUCCGUGUCUGUUGAGAGUCUGCUUCUCAGUUCAAAGAUGGCUUUCUCCUCGUUACAGCCGCAUGUGGUAGAAGGAGAGAGGGAACUCUCUAAG
rnacentral:lncRNA from 1 species